rnacentral:rRNA from 1 species
CCUACGGGGGCUGCAGUGGGGAAUAUUGGACAAUGGGGGGAACCCUGAUCCAGCCAUGCCGCGUGUGUGAAGAAGGCCCUCGGGUUGUAAAGCACUUUCAGUGAGGAAGAACGCCUGGUGGUGAAUACCCAUCAGGAAAGACAUCACUCACAGAAGAAGCACCGGCUAACUCCGUGCCAGCAGCCGCGGUAAUACGGAGGGUGCGAGCGUUAAUCGGAAUUACUGGGCGUAAAGCGCGCGUAGGUGGCUUGAUAAGCCGGUUGUGAAAGCCCCGGGCUCAACCUGGGAACGGCAUCCGGAACUGUCAAGCUAGAGUGCAGGAGAGGAAGGUAGAAUUCCCGGUGUAGCGGUGAAAUGCGUAGAGAUCGGGAGGAAUACCAGUGGCGAAGGCGGCCUUCUGGACUGACACUGACACUGAGGUGCGAAAGCGUGGGUAGCAAACAGGAUUAGAUACCCUAGUAGUC